rnacentral:lncRNA from 1 species
GUGCACGGACUCGUUAAAGCAAAUCCUCUCCGCGCCAACUCCUCGAGUAAUAGUGCAACAAAUAUUUACGUAAGAUUCAGAAAUGUUCAAAUGGCUGUGUCAAGUGUUAAGAGGCUACAGGCGUGGACAAAUGAUCACCGAUAGAGUCACACAGCAGCGGUCAAACACGCCCUGCAGUAUAAGGCGGGAGACACGAUCGGCGGGUACACGGUGCGCCAGGUUGAAGAAAUCAAAGAACUGCUCCUCGCUGCUGUUCGGCUUUUGGAGGGAAAAAACAGGCGCGGACUUUCUCCACAUCGCCCGUACGAUCGCACCCGCAGUAGGGAUGGAGGCUUGAGCAUACCGAUCCCAAGGACAAAUCUUCACCCAUUGUCAUCAAAGGAGUCGUAUACAAAGAAAUUAAAGGAGUCUGUGCAGCGGCUUCGUCCCGAGUUUCAUUUCCCGCGUUCUUCGCUGCUUCAAGGUCCAAGCAUGCAGGGUUGUGGAUUCUCCGGCUCCUGUCAAAGGAUUGCACGAGCCAGUACACUCGGCCAAGGACAUUAAGCAGAUGUGGUCGUUACUGUUUAAGAAGCAACAUCUUUUCCACAGGUUUCCAAGGCAGGGUGAGCUGAGAGAAGAGUGGGCCCUAGCCGUGUGCCGCUCACCUGCGUGGGCACCAUCACAAUGGAGCGUUGUUUGCUCGGAGCACUUCGGCCAUGGUGAUCUUGCGAGCGGUACCAAAGGCCAGGGUCACUUGAUGGUGAAUGCAGUACCAUCGCUUGCGGGCCCCACUAAGACGCUUGCAAAGGUUGAUGCUACAGCUAUGAGACAACCUUCAAGUGAAGCAGCUUGAUCCACGGGAACAUCACAGAAUCAAGAUGAGGCAGCAGGUCUCUCUGAAGCGACAACAGACAUGGACAUCUCCGAGGGCUCGUCAGAUGUGCUAGCAGAGGGUGCUGCUACAACUGCCAGCUCGUCCUUCGCUGAUUCAGACAUUGCUGAUGAGCCUUCCGAAAUCCAACAUGUCCUGUCUCCCAGUCGAAGGCCUACCAGCACGCUUGAGGGUGACGCUUCGGCAGCACUGCCUAUGCAUAGCCCAGCGACACCUCGAACAGCAAGGCAUACUACGG